rnacentral:tRNA from 1 species
GCAGCGGUGGCUCAGCAGUAGAAUUCUUGCCUUCUGUGCAGGAGACCCAGGUUCAAUUCCCAGCCUGUGCA